rnacentral:rRNA from 1 species
UACGAAGGGGGCUAGCGUUGCUCGGAAUCACCGGGCGUAAAGGGUGCGUAGGCGGGUCUUUAAGUCAGGGGUGAAAUCCCCAGGCUCAACUUGGGAACUGCGUCUGAUACUGGAUGGCUUGAAUUCGGGAGAGGGAUGCAGAAUUCCAGGUGUAGCGGUGAAAUGCGUAGAUAUCGGGAGGAACACCAGUGGCGAAGGCGACUACCUGGCCUGUUCUUGACGCUGAGGCGCGAAAGCUAGGGGAGCAAACGGG